rnacentral:rRNA from 1 species
UACGUAGGGGGCUAGCGUUGUCCGGAAUCAUUGGGCGUAAAGCGCGUGUAGGCGGCCCGGUAAGUCCGCUGUGAAAGUCGGGGGCUCAACCCUCGAAUGCCGGUGGAUACUGUCGGGCUCGAGUCCGGAAGAGGAGUGUGGAAUUCCUGGUGUAGCGGUGAAAUGCGCAGAUAUCAGGAGGAACACCAAUGGCGAAGGCAGCACUCUGGGACGUGACUGACGCUGAGACGCGAAAGCGUGGGGAGCAAACAGG